rfam:Phaseolus vulgaris cultivar G19833 chromosome 2, whole genome shotgun sequence.
UAGAGAAACAUCAUUGAGUGCAGCGUUGAUGAAGUUUCUGUCUCACUUGUGUUCUCAGGUACAAGAAAUUGUCAUCGACACUGCAUUCAAUCAUGUUUUUC